rnacentral:rRNA from 1 species
UUUUAUUGGUAUCAGGGUUAAUCGUGCCAAGAAAAGCAGCAUGGUCAAUAUAACCAGUAGUGUUAACAGUCGGGAGAGGAGUGGCAUUAACACCAUCCUUCAUGAACUUAAUCCACUGUUCACCAUAAACGUGACGAUGAGGGACAUAAAAAGUAAAAAUGUCUACAGUAGAGUCAAUAGCAAGGCCACGACGCAAUGGAGAAAGACGGAGAGCGCCAACGGCGUCCAUCUCGAAGGAGUCGCCAGCGAUAACCGGAGUAGUUGAAAUGGUAAUAAGACGACCAAUCUGACCAGCAAGGAAGCCAAGAUGGGAAAGGUCAUGCGGCAUACGCUCGGCGCCAGUUUGAAUAUUAGACAUAAUUUAUCCUCAAGUAAGGGGCCGAAGCCCCUGCAAUU